UUGGUGAGAGCACUGUGGCACAGUGCCUGCCUGGCAAGCAGGAAUCCCUGAGUUUGAUUCUCAGUACCAAA
rnacentral:tRNA from 1 species